rnacentral:rRNA from 1 species
AGAGUUUGAUCCUGGCUCAGGACGAACGCUGGCGGCGUGGAUAAGGCAUGCAAGUCGAACGGGAUGGGGAUUCAAGCAAUUGUGUCCCUUGAGAGUGGCGAACGGGUGAGUAACACGUGGGUAACAUACCUCCGGGUGGGGGAUAACUCAGGGAAACCUGGGCUAAUACCGCAUACGGUCAGACUGCCCAUGGCAGAUUGAUCAAAGGUGGGGACCUUCGGGCCUGCCGCCUGGAGAUUGGCCCGCGUCCCAUUAGCUUGUUGGCGGGGUAAAGGCCCACCAAGGCGACGAUGGGUAGCCGGCCUGAGAGGGUGUCCGGCCACACUGGGAUUGAGAUACGGCCCAGACUCCUUCGGGAGGCAGCAGUCGAGAAUCUUCCCCAAUGGGCGAAAGCCUGAGGGAGCGACGCCGCGUGAGGGAUGAAGGCCCUUUGGGUUGUAAACCUCUGUUAGGGGGAAAGAAAAGCAGUGGAAGCAAUAUGUCCAUUGCCUGACGUUACCCCCAGAGAAAGCUCCGGCCAACUCCGUGCCAGCAGCCGCGGUAAUACGGGGGGAGCAAGCGUUGUCCGGAAUCAUUGGGCGUAAAGGGCGUGUAGGCGGCUUGGCAAGUCGAAUGUGAAAUCCCACGGCUCAACCGUGGAACUGCGUUCGAAACUGCCUUGCUUGAGUGCGGGAGAGGUGUGCGGAAUUCCUGGUGUAGCGGUGGAAUGCGUAGAUAUCAGGAAGAACACCGGUGGCGAAGGCGGCACACUGGCCCAGCACUGACGCUGAGGCGCGAAAGCGUGGGGAGCGAACGGGAUUAGAUACCCCGGUAGUCCACGCUGUAAACUUUGGGCACUAGGUAUUGGAGGUCUCAACCCCUUCAGUGCCGUAGCUAACGCGUUAAGUGCCCCGCCUGGGGAGUACGGUCGCAAGGCUGAAACUCAAAGGAAUUGACGGGGGCCCGCACAAGCGGUGGAGCAUGUGGUUUAA